GCCCGCCUAGCUCAAUCGGCUAGAGCGUCAGACUUUUACGAUCUUCUGCUGACCGACGCAGGGGCUGAAAUCGCGUAUCUGAAGGCUGCGAGUUCGACCCUCGCGGUGGGCU